rnacentral:lncRNA from 10 species
UAAAUGACAAUUAAUGAAUCGUGCUGCCAAAUUACUUAUUGACUCAGUCUGCGCCCAAGGGAAAAACAGAAGCCGCACAGUAAUUUGAACAGGAAAAUUACACAGUUUUUAACAUAGAAGAUUUAAGUAAUGCGGGAAUUGCUUCUUAAGAGGUAAUGCGAACUGUGAAGAAUAUAGGAACAGCAGAUAUGAGAAGCAACCAAUAUUCCAAGGAAAAGCUAUGUCUCUGAGGAUAAGAUCGAGGAUGUGCCUGUGGCUCUUGGAUGGCAAAGAAGUUGCUGUGGUACCAUGUUAAUGGAGCUGGCUGGAAGUCUGCCCUCAAGUAUGCCAGGGAAGGCUGUUCAUGAGAAACUUCUCUGGAGGUGUUCUGCUACAAAAUUGCCCAAAUUUGGAUGCCAAGGGGAGCUGGUAGCCACUGGGUAUUGAUGGCCACAAUGUGUUGCAGGAGCCGAGUCCCCUGGAUAAGCUGUGGGAAUAGCAGGAACCGCGUGUGGGAGGAAGCCAUAUAUGCCUCAGGAACUUGCCAUCACAUUAGAUUCCCAAAGCCUACUAAAAUAAUUGUUGGAAAUUCAAAAUAUUUCUCUAAGCAGGAUGACUAACAAAUCAUCUCUACAAGGGGAGAAGAAACUGACAAACAUUUAUAUAGCUGUUGAUGCUAGCCAUUGACCAACAUCAGCUAGAAGCAGAGAGCAAGAGAACUCAAAUGGAACACUGGGACAACAUCAGGCACAGGACACACAGAAAGAUAAAGAAAUGUGAUUAGAUUUGGGGGGC